GACGAACGCUGGCGGCGUGCUUAACACAUGCAAGUCGAACGGAAAGGCCCUGCUUUUGUGGGGUGCUCGAGUGGCGAACGGGUGAGUAACACGUGAGUAACCUGCCCUUGACUUUGGGAUAACUUCAGGAAACUGGGGCUAAUACCGGAUAGGAGCUCCUGCUGCAUGGGGGGGGUUGGAAAGUUUCGGCGGUUGGGGAUGGACUCGCGGCUUAUCAGCUUGUUGGUGGGGUAGUGGCUUACCAAGGCUUUGACGGGUAGUCGGCCUGAGAGGGUGACCGGCCACAUUGGGACUGAGGGACGGCCCAGACUCCUACGGGAGGCAGCAGUGGGGAAUAUUGCACAAUGGGCGGAAGCCUGAUGCAGCAGCGCCGCGUGCGGGAUGACGGCCUUCGGGUUGUAAACCGCUUUCGCCUGUGACGAAGCGUGAGUGACGGUAAUGGGUAAAGAAGCACCGGCUAACUACGUG
rnacentral:rRNA from 1 species